AUGCGUAGAGAAAAAGGGAGACGUGCCACCGUUUGCUGUGCUGUAGCUGUUAGUCUGAUGUGCUAUUUAGUGCAAGCAAUAGACUGUUACCGACUAACGAAAACAGAGAGGCGAGGAUGGCGCGAAGAGGCCGAUGCGUUAGGUGCUCAAAAGGGGAAAGUCGUAUUCGGAAUAUCUGACGGGAAAGGCUCAGGCCUUGAGUCAGAGGGCAAAUAUGGGAAAGCCUCUGCAAACUCAUCUGUGGAGGAAUCUUAUCAAGCAGAUUUUAUAGGCUGGUCAAAAGGCCAAACGUAUGAUGCCACUUCCAGAGAAGCAGCAUGGAGGCGCAUGGCACCUUUUCUGCUGUGCGGUGGGGAUCGGAUGAAGUUCAGGGUAGUGGGAAGAGGAGUGUCACAGCUAGCAGUGGACCAAGCAAAUGCCCCACCAGUACCUCUGAGCCAGGUCCCUCCCAGCUGUGGCUACAACAUGCAGAGGAACCUACUGUCACUUGUUAUGAUGGUUCCCUAUGAUGGCUGCAGUGUGGUUCAAGAGGGUGGCAGUUAUGUGCUUCCAAUGCGGUGGCAGGGUAUUCCAGUCUCCCUUUGGUGUUCCAAACCUGCAGCACCAGCUCCUAUGACGACUGCAUCUCAAACCCCUCAGGACCCUGCAUCAAACUCCCAGAUGCCCUACGCUAGCAAAAACCCAGACCAAUUGUAUGCCCAUGUUCCUCAACCCUUUUUCUUUCCACAACAAAUGCACUAUCCAUAUCCUUCAGUAGCCGUAUCGGAUCCUGCAGCAACCAUAAAGCAACCAGAAAUGCCCCCAUUCCAGCAAUACCCUCUGCCCUUUCCUCCCCUCUAUCCUUACUUUUAUCCCCCACUUCCAGCCACAACGGCAGCCCGACUGGCCACUACAACCACCACUGCAAAGCCAGAAAUCUUCAUUCCUCCAGAGCUUCUCUUACCUGGUUACAAACCAGUCGGUCCACCUUUCCUUUGGCCCUUUCAAUUACCUGUGCCAGCAGGUACUCAAACCACAACUAAUGGUGACUCUUAUCCCCAGUCACUGCAGGUUCCACCCAAUAUGCAUUACUUCCCUCAGUUUGUCCCUCUUCCACAAUAUCUGAACAAUCCUAAUGCAGAUUUGGCGGCUCCUACUGGAAGCUCAGACACCGUACUCCAUCAAUAUGUUCCGCCUUUCCCUCAAUUUGUUCCUCAAUAUCCAAGCAAUCCUAAUCCAGACUUGGAAACUGGAAGCACAGACACUCUGCUGCCUCAAGCUCAGUUGCACAAUUUUCCACACUUCCAUCAACAAGUUCAGUUAAUGCCCAAUCCCUCCCUUUCGUCGUAGUUUGAAGAAAAUAUAAUAAAUGCUUUAAAUAACACCAGUUCAUGGUUUGAAUUUCUUUGUUCAACAGCUCAACUCAAUUAGCAUCAGAUUCAGACUCAAGGAUCGUAAAUGUUGUGAGCAUGUAGUGCUGAGGUGAUUUGAAUUGAUAAGCAGACUUGAUAUUUGGAUGUUGGGGGCUCAAAUUUAAAUGAUUAAUGUCCCCGUUGUCUGCAACCACCCACCAAACAAAGGGGGGUGGGGUGGAUAUGGUAAAUGGACUGAUUCUUAUAUAACACUUUUCUACUCUCCCAGAGUACUCAAAGCACUGUAUACAACAUGCAAACAGAUCUCUUGAAGGACCCAGCAUGUCAGGUGAAGGACCUGUUGUACAACUGUACAUGAUUAAGUCCUGUAAAGAUACUCCAUUUGCUGAUUUGACUAAGUAUGUAAUUAAUGUUGGAAAGUCCCUAUCUUGUUGCACUAUGCUGGGCUUAUGUGGCCUGAACUGUGAAGCUUCCUUUUCACCAAUAAAAAGCAAUGUUCUGUCAUGCUGUUCCAACUUAGUCAAACCAGCAAAUGGAGUAUCUUUACAGGACUUAGUCAUGUACAGUUGUACACCAGGUCCUUCACCUGGCAUGCUGGGUCCUUCAAGAGAUCUGUUUUACUCAAAUGCCAUUGGGGGGGGGAGAAAAAAAAUGCAGAUUCAUCACUGAACAUCACUUUCAUCCACUUUCAGUCUGAUUGCUUCUGUAUACCAUUAUAACGUUGUUUCGCUUUGUGUUGCAGGUUGUUCAGCUCAUUACAUGAAGUUCUAUCACAAAAUAUCAACUCAUUUUUGACCAUUUCUAUUUUGCCUCACCCUUCCAGUUUUCUCUUUACUCUUCAUUUUUUUUUCCUUUUAAUAAAAAUGAAAAACAAAACACAAUUUGUAAAUACAAUCAGGAAUAACCAGGGUGACUGUUGCUUAGGAGACAAAGGUGGUCAUCUAACAAUUGAGAAGUUGGUGGUUCAGUCCCUGGCUGCUCCAGUCUGCAUGUCAAAUAUUCCAGCAUAAGUAUCAUGCAGCCAUUGGAGUGCUAAUGUUAAAUGCCACUUAAGCUUAGAAUAAAAACUGCUCAAAUGGGCGGGUAUGAAUGAAACAUGUAUAAAGUGCUCAAGCAGAGUUAAAAAACACUAUAAACCAGACCAUUUACCAUAACCACCAUCUUUGGCCACGCAUUGGAUUUUUUUUUUUUUCUUGAAGGAGUUGUUUGAGUGCAUGCUUCCUUUCAGUUAGCCAGUUGUAAUAGCUUGCCAAGCUCUGCAAACAAGCUGUUUUAACGGCACACUAUUUUGCACAUACAGUUUUAUUCAGGUAUAAAUUUUAGUAAUGCAAACAGACAGUGUUUACUACUGUAAUUCUUGAAACUGAGAACUUGUCUCGAGACCCUAAAGCAGGGGUCCCCAAUCCCAGUCCACAAGGGCCGGUGUCCCUGCAGGUUUUAGAUCUCACCCUGGGUCCACACACCUGAAUCACAUGAUUAGUUCAUUACCAGGCCUCUGGAGAACUUCAAGACACGUUGAGAAGGUAAUUUAUCCAUUUAAAUCAGCUGUGAUGGAUCAAGGACACAUCUAAAACCUGCAGGGACACCGGCCCUCGUGGACUGGGAUUGGGGACCCCUGCCCUAAAGGCUGCACUGGAGCAACAAAGCAUGCAUCUUGCCUUUUUAAAUGUAACAUUUUAUGAAAUUAAAUACCUUUUAUACCUUUUAUUUGAUUAUUAAUCGACUCAAAGAAGAGUUUCUUAAGCUCAUCGGAAUAACCUACCUACACUUAAGUGAAUUGAAUCAAGAAAAAUUCAAAUAUGUUCCAAAGGAGAAUAAUUUUGCUCUUAUUAAAUGUUUACUGUUAAAAAUUAGUUUAACCAGAGACAGAGCCUGCACCUGUCUACAGUAUAUCUAAAUAGGAUAAUCUUGUCUGCAUAUUCAUGAGUUAUGAUGACUAUAGAAUUCCAUGCAUUUCAUGCUCCAUAAAAAAUGUUCUUCAUCUACUUAUUCCAGGACCAUACUAGAGUCAGAUGCCAAAGGCUCUUAAUGAGGCCACAGGUGCAAACUGUAACUGUGUUGAUUAGCUGGUGACAAAUUGCAGACAGCAUCAGAAGCUGUGAUUUGGUUGUUCUGCAUCGUGUGUCACCACUAUGGGAGGUGAUAGAAGUUGGAGCUGUAGAGCAUGUCAAACUGUGGCAGUCACAUUGCUCCUGUGCUCUUUAGCCCUUUGUUUAAACUUGCGAGUGCUGGGCAAAAAAGUUAAACAUGAGGGAUCUAGUGAGACUGCAGUGAAAGAUGGAAGAAAGGGAAGCAUUCUCUUUCAUGGAAAAAGGCUUAACUUCCAGUCAGGAUCUGCUUCUUCUGCGGUUGCCACAGGACAUGCGUUGCUGCAAGUUGACUUGCAUCAGUCAAGCAUCACAGGUAACACUUGGCUGUUUCUGUCAAUUUGAUAAACUCGGUACACUUGAGGCAAAGGUUGUUGCAGUUAACUUUGUGUUGGGAUAUCCUUCUUCCUAAAGCAGAGAGUAGAUCAAAGCUGAAGAAUGACACUGCUAAUGAAGUAGCAUGGAGGCAAUUAAACUCUUCACUACUCUGUGGCGAUAACAAGAUGAAGCUGAAGGCCAUGGGGCCUGGUGCUGCUGAUCUACAACUGCACAUAGGUAGAAAAAGUAUUAUAAGUAUGCAAGACUGUUUUAAAAACCGUCAUUGAAUACUGGCAUUUUUUUUUCUCCUUCUCUCAGAAAAUGCACAACCCUUAAAACUGAAGCAUGUGCCUGAAAGCUGUGGUUUGUCAAUACACCAGAAUUCACUGGGACUAGUUUUAAAUGUCCCUUAUAAUGCCUGCAGUGUGCUAACAGAGGUAGGCUUCCCCCCCCCCCCCCCCCCUCUUAAGUGGCUAAAAGGACCUAGACUUGGUGAAAUAUGGUUUUCACAUCCACGCUAUUUGAUGAAUUCUAUAUUUUUUUUUUUUUUUUUGGUAGUUUUAAAAGAAACUCUUCUAACCUAGAGUUGCUAUAACUGCUUGAUGCUAAAUUUGCCAAAUGCUUUUUUUUUUUUAAAAAAACAAAAAACAAAAAACCAGGCCAAAACAUGUUGUUUUUGUUUCAGAAUGGAAGCUAUGUGUUGCCAAUGAUUUGGCGGGGGAUGGCAGUUAAAUUCAUCUGCCCUGUUGUCAAUCCUGAUGCAACUCCUGCUUCGACAGUCCCUGGACCUGUUCAACAGCCCUGGAAAUUUCCUUUCUCUCUCAGGCCGUGGCACUUCCAUCGCUCGAAACGACAAGCAAAACAGCCCUGCUAUCCUAAUCUACAUAAUUCCUACUGGUAUAACUGUUACAUGCAUAUGAUGGCGCCAGGUGCUAAGACUAACCCAACUACAACUACCGCUCCCCCUCACACAAAGCCACCUGCAUAUUCAUAUCCUCUGUACUACCCAUAUAACUUUUAUUACCCCUACUACUCCUACUAUCUCCCAGUGAGGAACACUAUGCCACCAGCUACAACCACUGUGGCACCAUCUACGACUGUUAGACCUAGCAGCAUCAAAAAUCCUUCCAAGCGCCCUGCCUACUACCCUCCACAUUUUCCUAAUAUGCACUACCUUCCACCAGGCCAACCGGUGCAAAUGAUCCCUGACAAAACUCAGGUUUACUACUACAACCCGGAGACUGAAUAUUUCUAUGGAAAGCCUUCAUACCAACAAAAACCAAAUGUGCCAAAGCAACCUACUUGGUCUCAAUUUACCCCAGUUGCUAUGCCAGGUUACCCAGCUUCCCCUGUGAAACUGAGUUACCAAAGCCUUGUGAGCCCAGAAACCUCUGCAGCCCCUAUAGCCCCAUAUGUUCCAUUUGACAAGCUCCCUUUUGAGCCAUAUAUUGUAUACAAGGCUAAGAAACUCCCUGAUGACCAGAAGUACAUGGCCAAAGCCGGUUUUAAAUCUAGAUUCCAAACACAUUCAGGCUUCCCUUUGCAAAGUGCUUCCAGGUUUCCUCAGUACAAAGGUCAAGGAGGUCCGACUGGGAAUUAAGCAGAGCUGUAAGUGCUAAGGGUUUCUUGAUGGUGUGAAUUUGGUAAUGGUUAAAUUGUUCUAAGAAAAUCUUGUUUUCUCGUGGUGCAUGAUAAAAAUUCAUUAAAGACUUUUCUACUGUGAACUUGUUCUCAUGUAUGUGUUUUUAUUUAUUUUUUUUAUUAUUAUAAACACUACAAAAGACUACUCUCUUCAUUCAUGUGAAAAGUACUGGUCAUUUAAUGAUGGUGAAAUGCACAGUCCUAAGCAUGUUGGUUGUCAUGGUACGCCCCUUUUUAAAACACCAAACUGAAUUACUUUUCAAAUGUUUGACCUAUUUAUGGCAAACCCCCUCAAUACAUGUUAGAGCUCAUACUAAGACAAUGAAUUAAAGUCUGUAGAGGGCUACCUUUAGUUCUUGUUUAUGGAACACAUUUUUUUUUUUUUUUUUUUCUCUUGUGUCUUUGCACGAACUUUUUUGCAUAAAUCCCAUUCACCCACUGCACACAUAGACCCUAUUCUGUCUGUUCCUAUAUAGUUUUGCACAGUGCUCUCUCUCCCCCUUGGGCACCCCGUGACUGUGUGUGUACACACUUCCCUGAAACUCAACCACACGUGACAACUGAGAGAUGUGUAAUGCUGGACUCUGAAUCCAGACAUGCUCAUUGUCAUUCAUCCACUUCAUUUUCUAAACGCUACUUGGAGGGUGCAAAGCUCCAGAACAAGAAAUCAAGUAGAUCAUUCAUGCAACACUGCAUAUGUGUGUCUCUGCAGCUGGUUAAAUUAUUCAGUCAUUUAAAGAAGUGGUUGCAUCUCUUUAGCCAAG
rnacentral:lncRNA from 1 species